rnacentral:lncRNA from 1 species
UUGUGUCCUCCCUCCGCAGGAUGGGGGGACGGCAGGGGCGGGGUUCCGGUGUCGCUGGAGGACGUGUGCUACCUGGUUGAUCCUGCCAGUAGUCAUAUGCUUGUCUCAAAGAUUAAGCCAUGCAUGUGUAAGUAUGAACUAAUUCAGACUGUGAAACUGCGAAUGGCUCAUUAAAUCAGUUAUAGUUUGUUUGAUGGUACGUGCUACUCGAAUAACCGUAGUAAUUCUAGAGCUAAUACGUGCAACAAACCACGACUUCCGGAAGGGAUGCAUUUAUUAGAUAAAAGGUCGACAC